rnacentral:rRNA from 1 species
GCAAGUCGAACGGUAACAGAGAGAAGCUUGCUUCUUUGCUGACGAGUGGCGCACGGGUGAGUAAUAUAUAGAUAAUGUGCCUCUUAGUCUGGGAUAGCCAUUGGAAACGAUGAUUAAUACUGGAUACUCCUUCUAACUCUAAUGUUAGUCGGGAAAGUUUUUCGCUAAGAGAUCAGUCUAUAUCCCAUCAGUUAGUUGGUAGGGUAAUGGCCUACCAAGGCAAUGACGGGUAGCGGGUGUGAGAGCACGACC